ACCUGGUUGAUCCUGCCAGUAGUCAUAUGCUUGUCUCAAAGAUUAAGCCAUGCAUGUCUGAUUGCACAUCUCUUGCGCAUGAUAAACUGCAUAUGGCUCAUUAUAUCAAUUACCGUGCAUAUGUACUUUGCGGUACAUGGAUAGCAGGGGUAAUUCUACAUCUAAUACAUGCCCAAUGUAUGACUUAUUGGAAUACUGUGCUCUGCCACUUCAAAACCAUCCUGCAUCUGUAGGCUUUUUUGAAUGUAGCUGAGUGAACAAAUCUCAAAGAUCAUUUCGGAGAUUGAUCAUUGCAAUUUCUGACCUAUCAGCUUCUGAUGGUAAGGUAUUGGCUUACCAUGGCAAUGACGGGUGACGGGAGAUUAGGGUUUGAUUCCGGAGAGGGAGCUUGCAAAAUGGCUACCACAUCUAAGGAAGGCAGCAGGCGCGCAAAUUACCCAAUCCUGACACAGGGAGGUAGUGACAAGAAAUAACAAUACAAGGCAUCCAUGUCUUGUACUUGGAAUGAAUUGGGUGUACAACUUUCUCUUAGUAUCAAUUGGAGGGCAAGUCUGGUGCCAGCAGCCGCGGUAAUUCCAGCUCCAAUGGCAUAUAUUAAAGUUGUUGCAGUUGAAAAGCUCGUAGUUGAAUGUUUGCUAAUGAUGGCUGGUCCGCCCUUUGGGCGAGUAUCUGGCACACCAUUUGCACAUGCUUUGACUGAUGCCUGCACUUGAUUGUGUGGGGUUGUUCAAUGCACCUUUAUUUUGAAGAAAUUAAAGCGUUCUUGGCAGGCUAUUGCCAUGCAUGCACCAGCAUGGAAUAAUGAUGUCAUGAUUUAUUUUGUUGGUUUUUAAGUACAUGAGCAUUCAAAUAGGGAUAGUUGGGGGCAUUUGAAUUUUAUUGUCAGAGGUGAAAUUCUUGGAUUUAUAAACGUCAAACAAAGGCGAAAGCAUUUGCCAUGGAUGUUUUCACUGAUCAAGAACGAAAGUUAGGGGAUCGAAGACGAUCAGAUACCGUCCUAGUCCUAACCAUAAACUAUGCCACCUAGGAGUUGAAUGUUGUUACAUUGCUGAUAUGUGCAGUACCUGUGAGAAAUCAAAGUUUUUGGGUUCUGGGGGGAGUAUGGUCGCAAGGCUGAAACUUAAAGGAAUUGACGGAAGGGCACCACCAGGAGUGAAGCCUACGGCUUAAUUUGAUUCAACACGGGAAAAUUACCAGGACCAGACCUACCCGAGAUUGACAGAUUGAUAGGCUAUUUCUUGAUUUUAUGGGUGGUGGUGCAUGGCCGUUCUUAGUUGGUGGAAUGAUUUGUCUGGUUAAUUCCGUUAACGAACGAGACCUUACUUUGCUAAAUAAUUACAUGUACCUGUUGUUAUGUGGGCAAUUCCUUAGAAAGACUUUGUGUGCACAAUGCAAGGAAGUUUGAGGCAAUAACAGGUCUGUGAUGCCCUUAGAUGCUCUGGGCUGCACGCGCGCUACACUGAUGUGAGCAACAAGUAUAUUUCCUUGCCUGAAAUGGUGUGGCAACCUGGAAACUGCAUCGUGAUGGGGCCUGUUCAUUGUCAUUAUUGAUCUUAAACGAGGAAUUCCUAGUAAGCACAAAUCAUCAGUUUGUGCUGAUUAUGUCCCUGCCCUUUGUACACACCGCCCGUCGCUCCUACCGAUUGAGUGUUCCGGUGAAUAAUUUUGAUUGCUGUUUCUUUAGCAAUUGAUGUAACAUGUGAAACAUUUAAUGAACCUUACACUUAGAGGAAGGAGAAGUCGUAACAAGGUUUCUGUAGGUGAACCUGCAGAAGGAUCA
rnacentral:rRNA from 1 species